CACCACCUGUGGGGCUGCAGGGCUGAGUGCCCAGGCCAGACACAAUAGCCAUGAGUCAUGGUAUGGAUAAACUGGCCCUGUUGGAGCAGCGCAAAGUGAUCCAUCAAACAGUCGAAACUGGGCACUCCCAGGGAGAGUGCAGGCCCUCCCCUUUUCUCAUCUCACGCCCCUUAGCUAAGGAGCAAAAGGUAGGGCUGUACCAACACACAAGUGGAAGGAAGGCAGAUGAAAUUUCGGUCCGCCCAUCUGCUCCUACUGCACUGCGUCUCCCCUCCAUUUCCUCUGUUUGCCUCUCGCAUCCACAACCUCUAUGAAUACACAAACUGCAGUGUGAAAGAUGCAGAUCAUGGCAUAUGUUGACAUAAAGGUCGUCCAGCCCCAUCUUCCUACUACUGCUUGAACUAUAUCCUUAAAGCAUAGUGCCUCAAUCACUGCUUUGGGAGCUGCUCUCUUCCCUGAUUCAGCUUUCUGAUCCUUUUCUCAGCCAUGACAUCAUCUCCCCAGUGGGCCAGAAAUCUGGGGAAGUGGAGCUCCAGGACACAUUGGUGGAUUCGUCUGCCCAAGGAAGUAUGGUUGGCAUUAUGUUAUCGUCUGGAAUCUGGUGGCUGAAAAAAGAGUUAACAUAUAAAGCCAAACAAAUUGUUGACUAACCAUGAACCUAAAGGCAAGAAUAUUGCAGAU